CGGACCCAGGGGAGGGCGGGGCUGGUGCACCUGCGCCGAAUGGGCUCCAAGUUCUCCACAUAGGUACCGUCAGCUAAGCGUGUACGUGUGAGAUCACUGGUCACUAUCCGGGCGAAGAAGCGGGAAGGAAGGGAGCGGAAGAAUCGGAAGAGUUACAGAAGUCCUGGCACGCUACUGGUAGAGGAUGGCUCGUAUCGGUCCUGUAGCGUUACUGCUGUGUGUGGUCAAUGCCGCCCUGUACACGCAGUGUACCGCUCUGCCCGGUGAAUGUUUGGAGGCCUGUGCAAUAUGCAGUCGGACCUUCUCCAACCCAGGCAGAUACUUUCACCCCAUGAAGUGUUCCAUGGGGUGUGCAGAGGAUCUGAAGAAGGGUUACACGGACACCACAGAGUGGGUGUUGUGCCGCGAGACCAUGCGGGAAUACGGCUUGUGGACUUACAGAUGAGCACCAAGCUUUAGGAGUAAGGAUGGGAAAACAUCCACCCCUCUUUCUUGCCUCAAAGAUUAUACCGGACACUACUGUAUCUAACUAAGUUACUAUAAUCAGUUAACUGCAUUUUCUUGUCAAUCGUUGUAUCUUGCUCACGUUUUUGUCACCAAGUACAUGAAAAAUUACCUUAUCGUUGUAUAGCAACUUAUAUGCAACAGUGAUACAAU